CCUACGGGCGACAGCAGUAGGGAAUAUUUCACAAUGGGGGAAACCCUGAAGCAGCAACGCCGCGUGGAGGAUGAAGGUCUUCGGAUUGUAAACUCCUUUUGUUAGAGAAGAUAAUGACGGUAACUAACGAAUAAGCAUCGGCUAACUCCGUGCCAGCAGCCGCGGUAAUACGGAGGGUGCAAGCGUUACUCGGAAUCACUGGGCGUAAAGAGCGCGUAGGCGGGAUAGCAAGUCAGAUUGAAAAUUCUAUGGCUUAAACAUAACACUAUAUUUGAAACUGUUAUUCUAGAGUAUGGGAGAGGUAACUGGAAUUCUUAGUGUAGGAGUAAAAUCCGUAGAGAUCAAGAGGAAUACUCAUAGCGAAGGCGACCUACUAGAAC
rnacentral:rRNA from 1 species